rnacentral:rRNA from 1 species
GACGGGUAUCCGGCCUGAGAGGGUGAACGGACACACUGGAGCUGAGACACGGUCCAGACUCCUACGGGAGGCAGCAGUAGGGAAUAUUGCUCAAUGGGGGAAACCCUGAAGCAGCAACGCCGCGUGGAGGAUGAAGGUUUUAGGAUUGUAAACUCCUUUUGUUAGAGAAGAUUAUGACGGUAUCUAACGAAUAAGCACCGGCUAACUCCGUGCCAGCAGCCGCGGUAAUACGGAGGGUGCAAGCGUUACUCGGAAUCACUGGGCGUAAAGAGUGCGCAGGCGGGAUAGCAAGUCAGAUGUGAAAUGCUAUGGCUUAACCAUAGAACUGCAUUUGAAACUGUUAUUCUA